UCCGGUAGUUAAAUCGGAGGAAGGUGGGGACGACGUCAAGUCAUCAUGGCCUUUAUGUCCAGGGCUACACACGUGAUACAAUGGCAUAGACAGAGGGCUGCAAUGUGGCAACACGGAGCUAAUCCCUAAACUGUGCCCCAGUUCAGAUUGUGGGCUGAAAUUCGCCCACAUGAAGGUGGAAUCGCUAGUAAUCGCAGAUCAGCAGGCUCGCGGUCGAAUACGUUCCCGGGCCUU
rnacentral:rRNA from 1 species